rnacentral:tRNA from 1 species
GGAUAUAGUUCAAUGGCAGAGCAACGGACUUUGAAUCCGUCCAUCGUGGUUCGAAUCCACGUA